rnacentral:tRNA from 1 species
GCACCCGUAGUUCAAUGGCAGAACUCCAGCUUCCCAAGCUGGUCACACGGGUUCGAUUCCCGCCGGGUGCUCCA